rnacentral:rRNA from 1 species
CCUACGGGUGGCAGCAGUGGGGAAUCAUGCACAAUGGGGGAAACCCUGAUGCAGCGACGCCGCGUGAGUGAAGAAGUAUUUCGGUAUGUAAAGCCCUAUCAGCAGGGAAGAAAUAAAGACAGUUGGAAUCAGGACGGUAAGUGACGAAGAAGCCCCGGCUAACUACGUGCCAGAUACCGCGGUAAUACGUAGGGGGCAAGCGUUCUGCGGGUUUACUGGGUGUAAAGGGAGCGUAGACGGCAGCGCAAGUCUGGAGUGAAAGCCCAUGGCUUAACCAUGGAACUGCUUUGGAAACGGUGCAGCUGGAGUGCAGGAGAGGGAAGCGGAAUUCCUGGUGUAGCGGUGAAAUGCGUAGAUAUUAGGAGGAACACUAGUGGCGAAGGCGGCUUACUGGACUGUAACUGACGUUGAGGCUCGAAAGCGUGGGGAGCAAACAGGAUUAGAUACCCCUGUAGUC